UUUUUUUUUUUUUUUUUUUGCAAUGGUGGAGAAAAGAAUCUGCCCGAAGGAGAAAAGAAUAAAAGUUUUGUAACGUCCGAAGUGUACGCCUAGCAUUUCUAGAAAUAGUUAAAUUGUGUUUUCUUUUUUAAAACUGAUAACAUAACUUCCAUGUUUUCUUUCAACUUGCCCAGUAGAAAUUGGUUUGGCUUACCUUAAGAGCCAUAGCAGUUUGUUCUGAUGUUAUUUGUAUUUAUAACUUUUACGUUUGUUCCGUUUCAAUAAAACUCAGAUGAGCAUCAGUCCAUUGUCAGAAACUCAAACUCAGUGUUGUGAUUUGAUCUAUAACCUUUGAUUUAUAAGAUUUUAUUUCAAAGUCAAUUUUUCCCCCUCCAGGGAGAACUGUAAAUUAAUAUAAAUCGCAGAGUUUAACAAGGCAAAACCACAGCAUUUCCUGCAUACACAGAUGAAGUUAACACAUUUUUCCCAUUUCUUAGUGAUCCCCAAAGCUUUUUCUACCAUCUCUUUGUUUCCUUCUGCAAUUCAUAUGUCAGCAAAAGCAGUAUACAUCACUCUGGAAAAACUGCAUUUCAGUUUUUAUUUUUUUUUACCUUGGGCAUUUUGCAGCUGCAAUCAUAAAACUAUUUGGUGAAUAAUGACUUUUCCAGAACAUUUAUAUUUCUUUGAACGCCCUUAUUUUGUUUCAAAGAUGAAGUUAGUUGUAGAGUUUUUAUUCCUUGCAUCUUAAAAUAGAUUGAAAGGUGAGAACAAGUUUGACUAAUGAAGAACCAUAUAAUACCUAAAUUUAAAAAUGUUAUGUACACUAAAAGUCACAGCUUUGAUUUGAAUCUUCUUUUUUGAGUUGAUUAAACUGGAUCUUGCUUCCAGAAUCAUCCCCUUUCCCUUACAAUCUAUUUUUUUCCCCUCUUAAAGACAUCAAGGAUCUUGGUUUUUUAAGGGUUAACAUUCUUUAAACAUACUCUCACCCAGAGAAAGAGGCUGAGAGAAUGUGCUUACCAGGACAAAUGACGUACCUCUAGUCUAUACCUGUUGGUGUCAUUGUUUUGUAUUUUGUUUCAUGUGUCUGUCCUCUUAUUCCAACCUGCCUAGGUGGAGAAGCAAAGUGAGCGGCACCACUAGAAUGAGGAACUCACCUGAACAGUACUUGAGGGUGAGCCAGCCUUGCACAGAGUACUGCCUCCUCUCCUGUAGUUAACUUGAGAAGCUUAAGCUUGAUUUAUGUAAUUAUAAGAAAGAGUCUUAAUGCCAAUUAUAGAUAUUAAUUUCUUUUAACUUGUAAUGGGCCAAACUUUCUUGCAGCCUUAGUUGUAUUGAUCAACAGUUCUCCAGAUCUUCUUAAGGAUCCUGAAUAUGCUCCUCCCACCCGCACUCAUUUUCUGGCUAGUAAUUUUAUAACCAGAGUAAAUGGAAUAAAAAUGAAAAGAACAGUAUAACUGUUAGGUAUUCUAGCAGAUCUUCAGCAAAUAAACGGCAUCUGAAAAUCUGUUAUGGACAAUCUGAAAGACAAAGACCAAAAGGAUCAAGCAGGCAUGUAAUCUUAAUAUUUUAUUUUGUAACAUUCAGCUUUAUGUACAGUACAUCUAGAGAUAAUUGAAAAAAAAAAAUGGUUUGGAGACUUAUAACAAAGUGUAUGGUUCUCUUUUUAAAUUGGAUUUUUGAAAAAUGCUUGUAGAAGAGAUUUCUUUUCAGUUUAGGCACCUUUUCUGUGAGGGUCAUUGCUCAAAAAUUAGCUCAGUUACCCUUAAACCUUAACCAGUAAAUUGUCGUCUUUUCUUUUUUAUUUGAAUUGCUUCAUUUUCAGUCAAAUUUAAGACUGGUAAACUUGCUUUUGUUGAAAAAAAUGCUUAUGAAGUUGGCCUCCAACAGGAAAUCUGAAUGAAAUGGAAAAACGUGGGUGUCGGCCAGGUAUGAUGUGCUCUAAUGUCCAAAUGAUUUACAUACAUGUUGAAUUAGGUCUGAGAUCAAACAAAAUAAACAUCACACAAUUGAAGAACCAUCUAAAGACCAGUUCAAAUAAAAUCCAGCUUUUUGGAAAUCAAACAAAAUGAUGGAUUAAGACUUCUGUCCAGUAAAAUUCUAGGGAUCAAAACAUUUUUUUUUUUUUUUAUCUCUGGUAUUGGGUGGAAUAUUUAGGCUGUUUAGAACAUGGCUCUCUGAAGGAACUUUAAUAAAAAGCAAGAGUGCAGAAAGAUUUUGUAGACAUAGUGCGAGUGAAUCCGUGCUCGUAUUUGUUGCAAAUCUUGGCUCACUGCACCAAAACCACUGCAGCUGUCUGCAGAGGCAUUCUGCAAGUAGGAGGAGCUGGGCAUUUACCCUCCUAGGCCACUAGAGGUAGCGGCUUAAAUGCAAAGUGAGCAGUGAUUCUUUGCUUUAUCCGACGCUGAAUUACAAAAGACUAAAUUAGAAAUGUAUUUGGUAUAUAAGAAGCUAAGAACCUCCUCACCAAGUUGUUCUGCAUAUCAGAGGAGAGUAUGCUUUGAAAACAUCAGAGACUGGCUGGUUAUGGAACAAUGGCUGGACACAAAAAAAUAGGUGUCUUUAGCUUUGACCACCACCAGAUGGCAGUAUGGGGGCUGCAUUCAUUCCCUGGUAAAAGUAGGGUGCGGGAAGUGUGGGCAGAUGCAACAAAAGGGUAGUUGUUAAUGCCUGAGUGUCCUUUAAGCACAUUUUCAUAUCAGAUCUGUGUGUUUAUGUUGCCUCUUGUCACUAGGCAGUAAAGGAGCUGCCCACAUCCGUGUGAGUUCACAGAUUUGGAAAUAAAUAAUUGUUUCUGGACAGAGUGCUGAUUUCCACCUGGUCAUUGACUGAUCCAUUGCAGGUGUUCACUCGCUUGGGGUUGGAUCUAACGGCUCCAUAGCUUUCCAACAGAAGAGAGGGGGGGGAAAGGGGAGACGAGACAUCUGGCAGCCUGCUUCUCCACAUCGUUAUCCAGUUUCAAGAUUUGUUUUAAAAGGAAAACGAUCCAUGCUAGUAUUUGUACAGAUAUGAUUCAAAAUGUGUUUAAACAUUUUAAUCAAGAUUUUUAUUUCUUCUAGCAUGACAUGUACAUUGUUUGUUUUAAAGAAAUAAUUUUCACCACAUAAAUAAAAUGUGUUGAAUCUGCAUUGUUUAUUUUAUUGACAAACAUGAUAUAUUGGAUAUAAGAGCUAGUGUCUCAAGUAGGAUCUUGAUUAACUGAUCCGUGUGUUUAUAUAUAAUCAGUUGAUUACUGCAGCAGUGUCUAAAUAAGUUUGUCUAAAAAGUCUGACCACUUUUGACCUGGAUUGCUGCUACCCCUGCCCUCAUUUAAGUUAGAAAUACAGAGCAAUACCCACAUUCUAAAGUUUGUUAAACGAGUUACACGUAUCAUGGGGAAUAGACUUAAACUACUGAGCGGCUUUGCAUUAAAUACAAUACAGAUGUAUUAUUUCUAACCCACCAGGCUACCUAUAACCUCUGGUUUAAGCCUACUUUACAUCCACACAAUCAGGACCAAUUAUGGAGAUGCAGAAAAGCUUGUAAAUUAAAGUAAAAAAAAAUAAUAAAGAUGCAUUUUACUGUUCUAUUUAAACUAAAUUGAAAUGACUAGAUUUGGUCUGCAGACGUUUAAUUUAGCAGUGAAAUGUACUUGUUUUCAUCAUGUAAAGUACUUUGAUUUGUAUUAAAGUUUGACUGUUU